rfam:Pan troglodytes isolate Yerkes chimp pedigree #C0471 (Clint) chromosome 6, whole genome shotgun sequence.
GCUGGGUGUGGUGGUGCACAACUGUAGUCCAGCUACUUGGGAGGCUGAGACAGGAGGAUCCCUUGAGCCCAGGAGGUUGAGGCUGCAGUAAGCCAUGAUGGUGACACUGCAUUUCCGCCUGGGCAACAGAGUAAGACCCUGUCUCAA